UUUAUAACUCUGUAUGAGUUUUAGCCAUUGCAGUUAGUGCUCUCCAACUGCCACGUUUCUACAUCAUUUUCUCCCUGUUAGUUGCUUCCAAUCUCUCUAGGUCUUGUCAUAUGCCAUCCAUACAUUCCUUUCUAGUUGCCGUUCAAUGGUUGCUCUAGCUUUGUCUGUUACUUUCCUUCAUUUUAUGUGGCCAAACAACUUUAGUUUCUGUUCCUUCACACAACUUGUUAUAACGGGUAUUUUUGUCGUUUGUCUAAUCUUCGCGUUCUUUCUUCUUCGCCAGCAGUUUAUCACUAUAUCAUUUACGGGUCCGCAUAUCGUUCUUAACACUUUGUUCUCAAAGUUCCUCAGUUUUUGUUCAACUCUUGCUUUAUAUCUGUAGGUAAUCGCCGUGUACAGCCGUAUUAGUGUACCUCUAGAGAAAAUAAAGACGGUAAAAGACCAGCAAGAAUAUUUGUAU